rnacentral:rRNA from 1 species
AUGUGCUCGCCUUCACACUCUUCAUCCACUCAACCCCUGUGCACUUUAUCAGAGUUAGUAAUAGUAUUGUGGUGGCGGCCAUUUGUUGUUAUUCAUUGUUAGAAGCGGGGGCAACCCUGUCUGGCAAUAGUAAUGAUAAUAAUCUUGGUUCUACUACUAUUACUAUGAACACUUUGAAUUUUAUUUAUACAAACACUUUGCUUGUUCUUGUGAAUGUGUAAUGCUCCUUGUGAGUGAAAUACAAAUAUACAACUUUCAACAACGGAUCUCUUGGCUCUCGCAUCGAUGAAGAACGCAGCGAAAUGCGAUAAGUAAUGUGAAUUGCAGAAUUCAGUGAAUCAUCGAAUCUUUGAACGCACCUUGCGCCCCUUGGUAUUCCGAGGGGCAUGCCUGUUUGAGUGUCAUGUAAUUCUCAAUCCUCUUCUUCUUAACUGAAGAAAAGAGGCUUGGACUUGGAGGUAUACACAAGCUGGUACUGUUUAGUAUCGGCUCCUCUCAAAUACAUUAGCUGGACUGUAGUUCGCAUUGUUUGGUGUAAUAGUUCUAUCUUAUUUCACUACAGUGCUUACUUAGACGGGUCUGCUUCCAAUAGUCCGCC